rnacentral:snRNA from 1 species
GAUAGCUCAUUAAGGGUAAUUUG